rnacentral:tRNA from 1 species
CAAAAGUUAGAUUAAAUAAAAAUUAUUUCUUUGUCAAAGAAAAGAUAUAUCUUCAGUGUACUUUUGG